rnacentral:rRNA from 1 species
UAAGGAAUAUUGGUCAAUGGACGGAAGUCUGAACCAGCCAUGCCGCGUGGAGGAUGAAGGUCCUCUGGAUUGUAAACUUCUUUUAUAGGGGGCGAAAAAGGGCCAUUCUUGGUCAACUGACGGUACCCUAUGAAUAAGCACCGGCUAACUCCGUGCCAGCAGCCGCGGUAAUACGGAGGGUGCAAGCGUUAUCCGGAUUCACUGGGUUUAAAGGGAGCGCAGGCGGGCAUGUAAGUCCGUGGUGAAAUACCUCAGCUUAACUGAGGAACUGCCAUGGAUACUAUAUGUCUUGAAUGUUGUGGAGGUUUGCGGAAUAGGUCAUGUAGCGGUGAAAUGCAUAGAUAUGACCUAGAACACCAAUUGCGAAGGCAGCAGGCUACACAGAUAUUGACGCUGAGGCUCGAAAGCGUGGGGAUCAAACAGG